AUUGAACGCUGGCGGCAUGCCUUACACAUGCAAGUCGAACGGUAACGGGCCUUCGGGUGCCGACGAGUGGCGAACGGGUGAGUAAUGCAUCGGAACGUACCUUUCAGUGGGGGGUAACGUAGCGAAAGUUACGCUAAUACCGCAUAUUCUGUGAGCAGGAAAGCAGGGGAUCGCAAGACCUUGCGCUGAUUGAGCGGCCGAUGUCAGAUUAGCUAGUUGGUGAGGUAAAGGCUCACCAAGGCGACGAUCUGUAGCGGGUCUGAGAGGAUGAUCCGCCACACUGGAACUGAGACACGGUCCAGACUCCUACGGGAGGCAGCAGUGGGGAAUUUUGGACAAUGGGGGCAACCCUGAUCCAGCCAUGCCGCGUGAGUGAAGAAGGCCUUCGGGUUGUAAAGCUCUUUCGGCCGGGAAGAAAUCGUAUGGGUUAAUACCCUGUGCGGAUGACGGUACCGGCAUAAGAAGCACCGGCUAACUACGUGCCAGCCGCCGCCGUAACAC
rnacentral:rRNA from 1 species